AAAAAUAAGUUUAAAUUUCCAGGAGGUGGUACACAAUUUAUACACGGAGCAAAUGAAUACUUGGAUCAUAUUUAUAAGGUUACUUUAUUAAGUUUAAUCAUGCAUUUGCAAUUCACAUUUAUUCACUUUUCAAUGUUUUCACUAUAUGAUAAUUGUUGUACCCCAAAAUUUUUCCUCUCAUUCUUCAGUAAAUCAUCCUGGAUUCUCAGAGUUUUUCUUAAACAAAUCCAAGCCCUGAAUUAUCAUUCUUUUCAAGCAAACCAUUUACAAGAGCAAAGUGAUCAUUUGCAAACUCAAAAGUCAAAUUUUAUCUUGAAAAAGUUAAAUUCUAAAUACUUAGAAUUUUUCUAA